UUUGCCUUACCGUGCGAUGGUACGGUCUUCUUUACUUUUGCUGUUACAGCUUACAGUAAGCGUGCCCGAAAGAACAUUCGUCGUAAUUACAAAGUUCAUAAUUCAUUAAUGAAAGGUUUGAACUAUGUAAUGAAACUUAAAUAGUUUAAUUUUGAUGAAAACCAAGCGUUUUUGUGCUGCUUUAAAGAAAAAUUGAUACGAUCUCGAAAAAUGUCAUGACAAUUUUGAAGUGUUUUAUUAGUUCCAGAAGUUUGAAAGGAAUUUUCGAAAGUGUAUAAUUAAAUGACUAUUCAAUUCGAAUUAAAGCAAUGGAAUCUUGGUGAUGAUUUUACAGAUGCCAAAACAUCAAGAAUCUCAUCGGGAAGGUUAUUUCAGGAUUUUUUGAGGUUAUGAAAAGUGCAUUUAUGGCGGGACAAGUUCGUAGCGGAAUGAGAUUUGGCGAGGAAAACCUUAAAACAAAUACGUGAAUGAGUGAAAAUUCGUGAAAUUUCGGCGAAGUGAAUAAAACUGAAAUAUUUACAAGCAAGAAACAUCGUAAUAACGGGCAGUUUUUUCGUAGCAAGCACACAGCCAUUCAGCAAAAAAAUCGCACACCGAAAAUAUCUGACGCCUCAUCACUGAGGCCCGAAUCUCGUUAAUUCGCUUUCGGACACUGAAUAUCGAAGUGACUCUCACGACGGUGUUUGUUUUUAAAAAAUAAACCAUCCCCACGAGGAAGGAGAGAAUAAAAUUUCUUCGAAAGUCGCUGCACGAAAAUAAACGGAAAACAGUAAAUUGAGGAGGAGAGGAAAAAAUAUACGGAACGAAGCCCGCAUUUAUCGGGGGAUCUGACGGUAUAUUUGGACAUCUCUAGAGUGUCGUGAAACACACGAGGAUUUAAAGACGAAAGUGCGGAUAUUAUUAGAAGCGGAAGACAGCGGGAGAGACUCUGUUCUGGCGCCGAAAGGUCUGCUCACGAGAACUGUGCACGCUCAAACAAUUCUUCUCUAUUUUCAUUGAUUCCGCACGCGCAUAAAGGAUAAUAGUAUCGGGAUAUCAGAUGCGGAAGAUCGUAAAGGAAAAUAUGGGAGUAAACAUGAGCCGAGAGGGCAAAAAUGCAAGUGGGCGUUCCGUUGGAGCACGAUGAAGGCUCGUGAAUAAUCGAAGUAGCGAGAUUACAAUCUCGAAUGAAUUUAUAGCUUUGGGAGACGAGUCGUACGGGGAAGAUUCCGAUCGAGCAGCGUCUCCAUCUCUUCGCACGUCUUCCAAUUCACAUUUCAAUUUCUCUCUUUGUCCCGGACUUUCCGGAAGGAUUGAUUUACAUUCGGCGAUCGAUAAACUUGCUCCCUUCGUAAAUUCAUCUCGUAUCAUUGGCACCGAGCGAAAUGAAAGGUUGAGAAAUGAAGAAAAAUAAACAUGACGGUCGAAUGGUACUAAACAACGAGAAAGAGGCGUGCCCCGGAACUCGAUUCACAGAGUUAUGUCAGUCGCAGAACAACAAUUUUGCUCGGUUGUGGUUCAUGGGACGAACGUCUUUAAUAUCGAACGCUUUACCAAGCAGACAAAAAGCAAAAAAACUCGCAAAUCAAGGACUUUUUUGAAGCACACGAAAAGGGAAAAUGCCGAGGACAUACAUAAGCUUCGAACAAUGAUCGCGGAUGCUUCUGACAUUUUCGAUCCAUGGCCUGUUCCAUAGAUUUGACAUUUCAAGACGACCACGAUACCGAAAACAACGAUUUGCGAGACGAUCGAAAUGGAAAUAAAUGUCGGAAAGUACGGAAAAAUAGUUUUGACGUUCGUUCGAUUUCUCAGGUCUUCGAGUUUUGGAUACACGUCAAUUUUUACUGGCAAUGGAUCGAAAGUUUUGAAAUGAUUUAAAAUGAAAAUAGAUAUCGAAGAUCCACGUACCCGGAUUCAGAUUGCGUCGUCGAGCUCGUGCAGAGCCGUAUUCGAGUCCAGUCUGAGGAAAAGAUUGACGUAAACAAGCUGAUUCGUAAAUUCUCCAGUGAAAUGAUUCAAGUUUGUAGCGCAAAGAAAGUUACGAAUAUUGGGAACAUUGAAAAGUGCAGAAGCGAAAAAACUCCCGGUGCGUUGGAGCAAAAAAAGCUUAAUUGUCAGUAAUUUCGACGUGCCAACGUCCUCACCGUCUGUUCGAUUCAUCGUACGAGCGAUCCUCGCUGCAUUCGUAGUCGAGCAUGAGGUCGUCCGAAGUGAUGGAUUCGCAGGGUGAGAGUGUACCGACGCUUCCGGCACGGCUGAUUCGUCGGCCGUGAAUCGGACUGUUUUCGACGCUGCGUCCCUGCAGUAAACCUGAAAAUAAAAACAAGUGAUUCGAUAGAAUCGAGUCGAGGUACGAGGAGUUCCUGGGAUGGAAACGAGACGCACCUUUGUACGAUAAAAAAACUGGAACGCGGAAGCGUUGAAAAGAGUUUACAAAAUAGCCAAUUUACGAUCCGAAUCGAAGUGACAGGAUGGCUCGCGGUAACAACCGAUUGUGUAUCGGCACCGUUUCUGAGGGUGUCAUCGAAAGUGAGUCCAGGUUGAUCGGCGAUUUCAUCAUCAAAGAAUUCCCGUCCCUCGGAGAGGCUGAGCGAGUUGGAUGC
rnacentral:lncRNA from 1 species